AUUGAACGCUGGCGGCAUGCCUUACACAUGCAAGUCGAACGGCAGCAUGAUCUAGCUUGCUAGAUUGAUGGCGAGUGGCGAACGGGUGAGUAAUACAUCGGAACGUGCCCUGUAGUGGGGGAUAACUAGUCGAAAGAUUAGCUAAUACCGCAUACGACCUGAGGGUGAAAGUGGGGGACCGCAAGGCCUCAUGCUAUAGGAGCGGCCGAUGUCUGAUUAGCUAGUUGGUGAGGUAAAGGCUCACCAAGGCGACGAUCAGUAGCUGGUCUGAGAGGACGAUCAGCCACACUGGGACUGAGACACGGCCCAGACUCCUACGGGAGGCAGCAGUGGGGAAUUUUGGACAAUGGGGGCAACCCUGAUCCAGUAAUGCCGCGUGUGUGAAGAAGGCCUUCGGGUUGUAAAGCACUUUUGUCCGGAAAGAAAUCGCACUUACUAAUAUUAGGUGUGGAUGACGGUACCGGAAGAAUAGGGACCGGCUAACUACGUGCCAGCCGCCGCAGUAAGAC
rnacentral:rRNA from 1 species